UACGAAGGGGGCUAGCGUUGUUUGGAAUUACUGGGCGUAAAGCGCACGCAGGCGGACUGAUAAGUCAGUGGUGAAAUCCCGGGGCUCAACCUCGGAAUUGCCUUUGAUACUGCCAGUCUUGAGUCCGAGAGAGGUGAGUGGAAUUCCUAGUGUAGAGGUGAAAUUCGUAGAUAUUAGGAAGAACACCAGUGGCGAAGGCGGCUCACUGGCCCGGAACUGACGCUCAGGUGCGAAAGCGUGGGGAGCAAACAGG
rnacentral:misc_RNA from 1 species